CUUGGGUGCCGCCCCCUUUCCGGGCCGCGUAGUUGGGUUGCAGCGCACCAGAGGGCAGUAUGAAGAGGUGAAAGGUCACGUUAUGUAAGCGCUGGUGACAGGCCUGCGGGCCUCCAGCGGCGGAGUUGAAAAUGGGGGUCAGCGGGGGACCGAAAGGCCUGGAAUUCAAAGAGGGGCUUGGUGGAAAGGAUCAUACAGCAGCUUCUUUGGAAAAAUAUACUAAAAGACAUACCUAGUAAAGAUACAUCCAUUAAUUCUAAUAGUCUUUCGCAGCACCUCCAAAGUUGAGGGCUCUGGACUGGGAGCUUCAGAGGAAAAACAAAAAAUAAGACAGAGACUGUUCUGAGAAAACAAGAGGCACGAAUAAUGCCAGUUCGGUGAAGAGUGCUGUCCGAAGUGCAGUCAGAAGACAGCAGUGACUGCCUGGAGAGGGACGACAUUUGAGCUGCUUCCCCGAGCACACUACACCCACGUAGUCCAAACUAUGUCCUACCCAGGACAAGCCGAAACACUCACGGAUAAUUCUCUCCCUAAUUAAAUUGUCCCCUUCCGUUCAAAGAUCUUCACUGGCCUCAGAACAUACCUCCCCAGCCUGUUCUUCAACAGGGCGGAGAAAGCGGGGGUGCAUGGCAGUGCCAGACCCUUUUCUUAUCUUGAGGUGAGAAGUCUCCCCCCAGGGAAGGGUAAGUACCAGGUCAGUCGCCAUCCCAAUGGAGCCUCCUCUGGUCACCUAGCAGAGAUAGGACUGCAUCCUCCUUCGGUAGCUAUUUCUUCUAAAAGGAUUAUGAGCAACCUCGGAGGACAGGACAUUUGAGUCGAUUGUGAAAAGGUGAGUGGCAUUUCACUAAGCAGAGAAAUGAGGGACGAACAUUCUAGGCAGAAGGAGCCGCAGAGCCUUCUUGAUAGAUUCAGGACAGCACACCUUAAAACGUAGGGAUUUUGAGGUGGAAAGUAUCAAGAUAUGAGGGUGGCAACGGAAGUGAUCAUCCGGGCCACAGCGUGUGAUGGCUAGAGUGGCGUAGUUAUUUGUGGCAGGGAUACCAAGGGACCCAAAUGUAACAAAAUCAAGGGAGACAGGUGGACAGAUUGGAGAGGCACAGACGAGGUGACUAAUGGGACGGACAUUUGCAGGACUAGAUCCCCGGUAGCAGACUACACACAGGAUAAGGACUCCAACAACAUUAAGAGACAAAUUUUGGAAAAAUUGGUAUUUCAAAAUAGUGUCUAACUGCCCAUGAGAGUGGGGACCAUCAUCAUUUCAGCGCUUGGGGCCACUGUAAGCUGAAUCCAGCCCUGGUGUUGGUAAAGCAGAGAUCUAAAAUGGGAGAAUCAGUGGGGACCUGGGUGGCUCAGUGGGUCAAGUGUCCGACUUCGGCUCAGGUCACGAUCUCGCGGUUUGUGAGUUCGAGCCCCAAGUCGGGCUCUGUGCUGACAGCUCGGAGCCCGCUUGGGAUUCUCUCUCACGCUCGUUCUGCCCCAGCCCUGCUUGUGCCCACUCUCUCAAAUUAAAUAAAUAAACUUAAAAAAAAAAAAUAGCAAAAAUGUGACUUUUGCUUGGUGUGUCCUCCACUUCUGUGGGUCAAAUUUACAAAUGAUAAAGUUGAUUAACAUGAGAUUUUACCAUCUUGUCCUGAAGAUGUUGAGGAAAACUAUAGGGGGCACCUGGCUGGCUCAGUCAGUGGAGUAUGUGACUCUUGAUUUCAGGAUCAUGAGUCGAAGCCCCAUUUUGCAUAAAGCUUACUCAAAAGAAUAAUAAUAAAUUUAAAAAUUUUUUAGAGAAAGAAAAAAAAAUGAAAGAGACUGUUAAUGUAACUAUCAGUUUCCUGCUCUAAUAUUUUCAUUGACUCUUGUUGCAGUCAAACUUUUUUGUUUUAAUUUUUAUUUUUAACAUGUAUUUAUUUUCGAGAGAGAGAGAAAGAGAGAUUGUGGGCUGGGGAGGGGCAGAGAGAAGCGGAGACACAGAAUCUGAAGCAGGCUCCAGGCUCUGAACUGUCAGUACAGAGCCUGAUGCAGGGCUCAAACUCACAAGCCUCGUGAGAUCAUGACCUGAGCCUCUCAACCAACUGAGCCACCCAGGUGCCUCCUCAGUCCUCAGACUCUUAACCCAGCAGGCCCCUACUGGACUACUUCCUCCUAAUUCCCAGAAUUCAUUAGCUUUAUUCCUACCCACCGCUGGAAAUGGACUUUUUUCUCCUCUGUGGAUUUCAACCCAAUACUUCCUUCCUAAUGCCUUUUCCCAAUUGUUCCAGCCCACAUCCGCUUUUACUAUACUCUCAAGUUUUUUUUUUUACCAUAAUUUUAGCAAAAUUCAUUGUUCAAUGUGUUUUCUUUCCUAACAUUUGAAUGAACAAGUUAAUCCAAAAAGGAAGAGAUUAAAAUGUGUAGCUUCCAGGGAUCUGCACCAAAGCUUCUAUUGCUCCAAGUCGGCUGUGGCUGCUUAGUCGCAGGAAUAAGACUGUCCAAGGAAGUGUAGCCAUUUCCCUACAUGGAUCUCCACUGGGUAGUUUUAGGACAUGAGCUCAGUCAGCAAGAUCUGUUUCUGUGGUCUGUAUCAUGUGGAGCUAUGCCCUGCCACAUAGUCCUCGUUCAUUGAUGCAGGCACAAACCUUUGCUUAGACAGUUCCGGCUCCUGCCUGGGCUUUUCCUCCCUGUCCUGCUGGUUCCUUAAACUCAAAACAUCCCAGAGCCACGAUCUUACCGUCUUCCUUCCCUCCAUCAUCUGCUUUAUCAGAAUGGUUUUCAUUUUUAUUAACGGCCCACCUUCCUCACAACCUCACGGGCUCAGGUUUGACCUCUCUUGAGCUCCACGGGCAUAGGAUCAACCAGACAAUGUCAGUUCUUGAACUGUCCUCCUGCCAUCCCCACAGCAUCCUAUUUCAGGCCUCUAUUAUUUCUGGCCAAAACUACUAUAAUGCCUUUCUUCUUUUGAAAUGUUUUAGGGGUGCCUCUCAAUUGGUAGAGCAUGCUGCUCUCAAUCUUAGGGUUGUGAAUUCAAGCCCCAACGUUGGGCAUGGAACCUACUUACAAGUAAAAGUUUUAAACUCCGUUAAAAUUAUGUCUUUUUUAUGGUAAAAUGAACAUAGUUCCCCAAAAGAAACAUUUAAAUGUACUUUAAAAAACAACAACAGGGGCGCCUAAGUGACUCAGUCAGGUAAGGUCCGACUUUAGCUCAGAUCAUGCUCUCACAGUUCGUGAGUUCAAGGCCCACCUUGGGCUCUGUGCUGACAGCUCAGAGCCUAGAGCCUGCUUCAAAUUCUGUGUCUCCCUCUCUCUGCCCCUCCCCCGCUCGUAUACUGUCUCUCUUCCCUCUGUAUCAAAAAUAAUAAACGUUUAAAAAUAAAAAUAAAAAAACAGCAAUAAAAAACAUCAACAAAUAGUUCUACAAAAAUCAGCCCUAGAGCACUUUCCCCAUCCACUUCCUGUUCCCUCAAGCACUCAUUUUCAAAUUGUUAAACUGUGUUAAAUUGGUAAAAGGAAACUUCAUUGUUUUUAAUGUUUUAUUUUUGAGAGAGAGAGAGCAAGAGAGAGUGAGAAUGGGGGAGGGGCAGAGAGAGAGGAAGACACAAUCCAAAGCAGGCUCCAGGAUCUGAGCCGCCAGCACAGAGCCUGACCCAAGGCUCAAACUCCUGAACCACAAGAUCAUAGCCUGAGCCGAAGCCUGAGGCUUAACCAACUGAGCCACCCAGGCAGCCCCCGGAUUCCAUUUUAAUGAAGUUUCCUAGGGGCACCUAAAUGUUUCAGUCAGUUAAGCGGAGGACUUCGGCUCAGGUCAAUGAUCUCACAGCUUGUGGUUCGAGCUCCACGUGGGACUCUCAGCUGCCAGCUCAGAGCCUGGAGCCUGCUUCCGAUUCUGUGUCUCCCUGUCUCUCUGCUCCUCCCCUAAUCAUACACUCUCUCUCAAAAAUAAACAUUCAAAAAAAAAAAAUCUAUGGAAGAAAUUUCCAACUUCUUUUUUUUAAGUUUAUUUUUGAGAGACAGAUUUCGAAAUAACAUAUAUGUUGCUAUGUUUGUUUCUCAGUUUUAACGUUAGCUGUUGUCAUUCUUCAAUGGAAGAUGAGGUCUCACCUCCCCCACAAAUACCAUACACAAUCAUAUUCCCCAAAUAAUUAUUGCAAUUGGUUAAAUCCACAUUCAGUGUCUAACUUAUGAUUAUUAUUCAUAGAUGAUCCACAUGGUGAACUGAUUACAUUUCUUUUCUUUUGUUUUCACUGGUUUGCAUCAGUCUAUUUCCACUUCCUUUUCUAAGUACCUAUCACUACUGUAUCCCUCAACUGACACAACUCUAAGACUCCUCUCAAUACAUGCAAACCUAGCAAGUCUUCCUAUUUGUCCCCUGCCUCUUUCCUUUCCUAGGCAUUUCGAACACAAUCUCACUCCCCUGCUCUGGGCUUUCAAUGGCUGGCUCUCUAAAGUCAACAAAGUAAAAUCAAGCUCUUUGGUCUGGCCUUCCAGGCCCUCCACAAUCUGUCCUCAGUCUUUUUCCUACUUCCCUCAAACCCCUUACUCCAGUAAACUAGAUUUAUCUAGGUUUCUAAAUACCAUUCCCCACUAAAAGGAUCCAGGGCUCCUGGGAAAAAGGAAUGGGGCUAGCAAAGUUCAAGGUGAGUCAGGAACAACUUGUGCCUAAAAGUAAAGAAGUGCUCAAAUAGAGAUGGGGACAUGUCAAAAGGACUUGCUUGGGAGCCAGCAUGAAGGGAUUCUAACUGACUAAAUCUGGGACAAUUUGAACAUUAAAAAAAAAAAAAAUGACAGCAACAGAUUGUGGCACAUUGAAUGUAAGGGGAAAUCAUGAGCCAUAGUAAUAUUCAGAGAGAAGAUCGCUUCUAGGCCUUUUGGCUAAGAUCAAGUGCAGAGAAAGGAGGGAGGGAAGGAAGGAAGGAAGAAAGGAAUGGACGGAGGAAGGGAGAAAGAGGAAAGAAAAGAAAGGGAGAAAGAAGAAAGAAUAAGGGAAAGGAAGAAAGAAAAAGAAAAGAAAAGAGGAAGGGCAAUGUGCUAUUUACAGAAGGCUGCCAGUGAAUGAAUGUGAAAAGAAUGUUGGAUUUAGAAAACUCACCAUUUUGCAGACUCUAGGGAAGUAACUUGAUUCAGAAAUGGACCAUCAAUGGAUGCUAAAAUCACUGGUCUAAGUGAAUGGUCUAAGAUUAUCACCCGCCCCCCCCCCCCGACCUACAAA